ACUUACGCCUGAUGUCCACCAGAUAAGUCAAACUCGUUGCAUUGCGCCGUGGAGUCAUUCAUUGUCAAUGGAGCAAUCCAAAAAGAGCCUGACAGACAGACUAGCCUCAUCGACGAAUCCUGUCCACCAACAGCCCUCCUGGUCCAUACGAAAGUAAUUAAGGGAGCAGAAUGACAUGUCUGACUUUGAUGAGGAGAGAAACGUGGACAAGUGUCCAAGCAACUCAUAAAAGAGGCUAUGGCUUUCCAUCAUCCCCCUAAGUGAUUCUCGGCAAACCUUGAAAGACCAAAUA